rnacentral:rRNA from 1 species
UACGUAGGGGGCAAGCGUUGUCCGGAUUUAUUGGGCGUAAAGAGCGUGUAGGCGGCCAGACAGGUCCGUUGUGAAAACUCGAGGCUCAACCUCGAGACGCCGAUGGAAACCGUCUGGCUAGAGUCCGGAAGAGGAGAGUGGAAUUCCUGGUGUAGCGGUGAAAUGCGCAGAUAUCAGGAAGAACACCCGUGGCGAAAGCGGCUCUCUGGAACGGUACUGACGCUGAGACGCGAAAGCAUGGGGAGCGAACAGG